rnacentral:tRNA from 1 species
CGCGGGGUGGAGCAGCCUGGUAGCUCGUCGGGCUCAUAACCCGAAGGUCGCAGGUUCAAAUCCUGCCCCCGCAACUA